GACGUAGGGCGCGAGCGUUGUCCGGAUUUAUUGGGCGUAAAGAGCUCGUAGGCGGCUUGUUGCGUCGGCUGUGAAAACCCGUGGCUUAACUGCGGGCUUGCAGCUGAUACGGGCGGGCUGGAGUUCGGUAGGGGAGACUGGAAUUCCUGGUGUAGCGGUGAAAUGCGCAGAUAUCAGGAGGAACACCGGCGGCGAAGGCGGGUCUCUGGGCCAUAACUGACGCUGAGGAGCGAAAGCGUGGGGAGCGAACAGG
rnacentral:rRNA from 1 species